rnacentral:rRNA from 1 species
CCUACGGGAGGCAGCAGUGGGGAAUAUUGCACAAUGGGCGCAAGCCUGAUGCAGCGACGCCGCGUGAGGGAUGACGGCCUUCGGGUUGUAAACCUCUUUCAGUAGGGAAGAAGCGAAAGUGACGGUACCUGCAGAAGAAGCGCCGGCUAACUACGUGCCAGCAGCCGCGGUAAUACGUAGGGCGCAAGCGUUAUCCGGAAUUAUUGGGCGUAAAGAGCUCGUAGGCGGUUUGUCGCGUCUGCCGUGAAAGUCCGGGGCUCAACUCCGGAUCUGCGGUGGGUACGGGCAGACUAGAGUGAUGUAGGGGAGACUGGAAUUCCUGGUGUAGCGGUGAAAUGCGCAGAUAUCAGGAGGAACACCGAUGGCGAAGGCAGGUCUCUGGGCAUUAACUGACGCUGAGGAGCGAAAGCAUGGGGAGCGAACAGGAUUAGAUACCCUGGUAGUCCAUGCCGUAAACGUUGGGCACUAGGUGUGGGGGUACAUUCCACGUUUUCCGCGCCGUAGCUAACGCAUUAAGUGCCCCGCCUGGGGAGUCGGCCGCAAGGCUAAACUUAAUGAAUUGACGGCUGAGAGNGCGAGACGACGACGAGGAGAGG